CACUAAAGAGCUAGCCUAAUAAUUAAAAUGCAACAACCAACAUCAAUAACCCCAAACACCUUAAAAAUAAACCUUAAAACAUUCUUCCCCCUUAGUAUGGGUGACAAAAAAGGGAAUAAGAGCUAUAGAACUAGUACCGCGAGGGAACGCUGAAAGAGAGAUGAAACAGAACAGUAAAGUAAAACAAAGCAGAGCUACCACCUCGUACCUUUUGCAUCAUGAAUUAGCAAGUACACCCAGGCAAGAAGCACCCUAGCCUGACGCCCCGAAACUGGGUGAGCUACUCCAGGGCCGCCUACUGAAGGGCAAACCCGUCUCUGUGGCAAAAGAGUGGGAAGACCCUCGAGUUGAAGUGAUAAACUUACCGAACCCAGUAAUAGCUGGUUGUCUGGAAAGUGUAUGUAAGUUCAGCCCCUUUUAUUCUUUAGUUAAAAGCAGAAUCUGCAAGUCUAAUAUUAAGAAUAAAUGGGAGUUAGUCGAAGGGGGUACAGCCCCUUCGAUGAAGGAAACAACCUUUAAAGGAGGAUAAAGAUUAUAAUACCCAAGAGUUAGCGCCCCAGUAGGCCUAAGAGCAGCCACCUGAAUAGAAAGCGUCAAAGCUUAAGCACACUUUAACCCUAUUAUACCAUUAAACUCAAACAGAAGCCCCAACCUUAAACCAGACCCUCCUACUUGUAGUGGGAGAGAAUAUGCUAGUAUGAGUAAUAAGAGGCCUAAGAAUCUCUCCCCGCACGCGUGUAAGUCGGCAUGGACCACCCACCGACAACUAACGGACCCAAAUAAAGAGGGUAAUGAAGGAUAAGACACUGGAAAAUAACUCACCCUCCCCCGUUAACCCCACACUGGUGUGCAACAGGGAAAGACAAAAGGAAUAGAGAAGGAACUCGGCAAAACCACAAAGCCUCGCCUGUUUACCAAAAACAUCGCCUCUUGCAAAAUUAAGAAUAAGAGGUCCAGCCUGCCCAGUGACAUUUUUUAACGGCCGCGGUAUUUUGACCGUGCUAAGGUAGCGCAAUCACUUGUCUUUUAAAUGAAGACCUGUAUGAAAGGCAUCACGAGGGCUUAACUGUCUCCUCUUUCCAGUCAAUGAAAUUGAUCUCUCCGUGCAGAAGCGGGGAUUUAAACAUAAGACGAGAAGACCCUGUGGAGCUUGAGACGCUAGCGCAGCCCAUGUAAAACACCCAAUGUUCCAGGAAUCAACUGAUGGGGACUGCGCCUUUGUCUUCGGUUGGGGUGACCACGGAGUAAGAAUAACCACCGUGCAGACAGGGAGCAAAUAGGGACAAUUACCCCCACCCACAACUGCCCUCCUCAAAACCAGAGCUCCGGCUCUAGUUAACGAAACUUUCGACUUAAAAUGAUCCGGGAUAACCGAUCAUCGAACCAAGUUACCCCAGGGAUAACAGCGCUAUCCCCUUCAAGAGCCCAUAUCGCCAAGGGGGUUUACGACCUCGAUGUUGGAUCAGGACAUCCUAAUGGUGCAGCCGCUAUUAAGGGUUCGUUUGUUCAACGAUUAAAGUCCUACGUGAUCUGAGUUCAGACCGGAGCAAUCCAGGUCAGUUUCUAUCUAUGAAAACGCUUUCUUCCAGUACGAAAGGACCGAAGAAAGGGGGCCCAUGCUUAUAAGCACGCCCAACCCCCACCCGAUGAAGCCAACUAAACUGGGUAAAGGGGACAAAUAUCAUGCUAUAGAAAAUAGUAC
rnacentral:rRNA from 1 species